rnacentral:rRNA from 1 species
ACGCACGCUGGCCGCGUGCUUAACACCUGCCAGUCGAACGGAAAGGCCCUGCUUUUGUGGGGUGCUCGAGUGGCGAACGGGUGAGUAACACGUGAGUAACCUGCCCUUGACUUUGGGAUAACUUCAGGAAACUGAGGCUAAUACCGGAUAGGAGCUCCUGCUGCCUGGUGGGGGUUGGAAAGUUUCGGCGGUUGGGGAUGGACUCGCGGCUUAUCAGCUUGUUGGUGGGGUAGUGGCUUACCAAGGCUUUGACGGGUAGCCGGCCUGAGAGGGUGACCGGCCACAUUGGGACUGAGAUACGGCCCAGACUCCUACGGGAGGCAGCAGUGGGGAAUAUUGCACAAUGGGCGGAAGCCUGAUGCAGCAACGCCGCGUGCGGGAUGACGGCCUUCGGGUUGUAAACCGCUUUCGCCUGUGACGAAGCGUGAGUGACGGUAAUGGGUAAAGAAGCACCGGCUAACUACGUG